UAAACUGACUUGGGUUUGUAGCUCCUUAA
rnacentral:piRNA from 1 species